rnacentral:rRNA from 1 species
AUUGAACGCUGGCGGCAUGCCUUACACAUGCAAGUCGAACGGCAGCACGGGUGCUUGCACCUGGUGGCGAGUGGCGAACGGGUGAGUAAUACAUCGGAACAUGUCCUGUAGUGGGGGAUAGCCCGGCGAAAGCCGGAUUAAUACCGCAUACGAUCUACGGAUGAAAGCGGGGGACCUUCGGGCCUCGCGCUAUAGGGUUGGCCGAUGGCUGAUUAGCUAGUUGGUGGGGUAAAGGCCUACCAAGGCGACGAUCAGCAGCUGGUCUGAGAGGACGACCAGCCACACUGGGACUGAGACACGGCCCAGACUCCUACGGGAGGCAGCAGUGGGGAAUUUUGGACAAUGGGCGAAAGCCUGAUCCAGCAAUGCCGCGUGUGUGAAGAAGGCCUUCGGGUUGUAAAGCACUUUUGUCCGGAAAGAAAUCCUUGGCCCUAAUACGGUCGGGGGGAUGACGGUACCGGAAGAAUAAGCACCGGCUAACUACGUG